rnacentral:sRNA from 1 species
CUUGGUCAUUUAGAGGAAGUAAAAGUCGUAACAAGGUUUCCGUAGGUGAACCUGCGGAAGGAUCAUUACCUAGAGUUGUAGGCUUUGCCUGCUAUCUCUUACCCAUGUCUUUACAGUACCUUCGUUUCCUCGGCGGGUUCGCCCGCCGAUUGGACAAAUUUAAACCCUUUGCAGUUGCAAUCAGCGUCUGAAAAAACAUAAUAGUUACAACUUUCAACAACGGAUCUCUUGGUUCUGGCAUCGAUGAAGAACGCAGCGAAAUGCGAUAAGUAGUGUGAAUUGCAGAAUUCAGUGAAUCAUCGAAUCUUUGAACGCACAUUGCGCCCCUUGGUAUUCCAUGGGGCAUGCCUGUUCGAGCGUCAUUUGUACCUUCAAGCUUUGCUUGGUGUUGGGUGUUUGUCUCGCCUCUGCGUGUAGACUCGCCUCAAAACAAUUGGCAGCCGGCGUAUUGAUUUCGGAGCGCAGUACAUCUCGCGCUUUGCACUCAUAACGACGACGAUCCAAAAGUACAUUUUUACACUCUUGACCUCGGAUCAGGUAGGGAUACCCGCUGAACUUAAGCAUAUCAAUAAGCGGAGGAAAAGAAACCAACAGGGAUUGCCCUAGUAACGGCGAGUGAAGCGGCAACAGCUCAAAUUUGAAAUCUGGCGUCUUUGGCGUCCGAGUUGUAAUUUGCAGAGGGCGCUUUGGCAUUGGCAGCGGUCCAAGUUCCUUGGAACAGGACGUCACAGAGGGUGAGAAUCCCGUACGUGGUCGCUAGCCUUUACCGUGUAAAGCCCCUUCGACGAGUCGAGUUGUUUGGGAAU